AUGUACGCUGACAAUGCAGUCAUCUUUGCAAACCCAGUUCGGGAAGAGCUCGACAAGCUGUUUCAGAUCAUCACCAGUUUUGGGGAUGCUUCAGGCCUGCACCUCAACAUCAGCAAGUGCACCAUCAAGCCCAUUCGUUGUGACCACAUUAACCUUCAAGAAGUUCUGCAGGCGUUUGGUGGACAGAUCGUUGCCUUCCCAAUACGUUACUUGGGAUUACCAAUAAGCCUCGGCCGUGCCAAAAUGGUUCAUUUUCAGUUCAUCUUGGACCGCAUCCGAGCCCGGCUGGCUGGAAGCGUAAACUCAUGA
rnacentral:rRNA from 1 species